AUACAUUAAAGUACCAUAUCAGCUAUCUAAGUAUCCAGCAGUAAAACAGACCCUAAGAUUUAAAGGAAAGAACAUGGCCAUUGAAAGAGCACCAACUAAUUUUAACUUACUUAGAAACAAUAAAGACCCAAAACAAAAAAAAAAUCACAAAAAAUCUGGGAUCUAUAGUAUACCAGUAGAAAACAUGUGCACAAAACAAAAAGUCGCAUAUACCGGCCGUAUCUUAAAAGAAAGACUCCAUGAACAUGAAAAAGAUAUAUGGAAUGGCAACACAGCAAUAGCACUGGUGGCAUAAUGCUAUGCAUCAAACAUAAAGGUAGACUGGGAAGGAGCAAAAGUGAUCAAAUAAGUGCCAAAUAUGAAACAAGGACUAAUUUCAGAAGCAUUGGAAAUAGUCAAGAGAAAAAAAC
rnacentral:lncRNA from 1 species